UAGGGAAUAUUGGGCAAUGGACGCAAGUCUGACCCAGCCAUGCCGCGUGCAGGAUGAAGGCGCUCAGCGUUGUAAACUGCUUUUAUCAGGGAAGAACAGUAGUGGUGCGCCAUUAUGUGACGGUACCUGAGGAAUAAGCACCGGCUAACUCCGUGCCAGCAGCCGCGGUAAUACGGAGGGUGCAAGCGUUGUCCGGAUUUAUUGGGUUUAAAGGGUGCGUAGGUGGUUUUCUAAGUCUGGUUUGAAAGCUGGUGGCUUAACCAUCAGAUGUGGCUGGAAACUGGAGGACUUGAAUGCGUUGGCGGUAGCCGGAACGGGUCAUGUAGCGGUGAAAUGCAUAGAUAUGACCCAGAACACCGAUUGCGAAGGCAGGCUACUACGACGCGAUUGACACUGAGGCACGAGAGCAUGGGUAGCGAACA
rnacentral:rRNA from 1 species